rnacentral:rRNA from 1 species
ACUCAAAUGAAUAGACGGGGACCCGCACAAGCAGUGGAGUAUGUGGUUUAAUUCGAAGCAACGCGAAGAACCUUACCAGGUCUUGACAUCCCUCUGAAUACUUUAGAGAUAAGGUAGGCCCUUCGGGGACAGAGGAGACAGGUGGUGCAUGGUUGUCGUCAGCUCGUGUCGUGAGAUGUUGGGUUAAGUCCCGCAACGAGCGCAACCCUUGAUGCUAGUUGCCAGCACGUGAAGGUGGGCACUCUAGGAUGACUGCCGGUGACAAACCGGAGGAAGGUGGGGAUGACGUCAAAUCAUCAUGCCCCUUAUGACCUGGGCUACACACGUACUACAAUGGCCGGUACAGAGGGAAGCGAAGCCGCGAGGCGGAGCCAAUCCGAUAAAGCCGGUCUCAGUUCGGAUUGCAGGCUGCAACUCGCCUGCAUGAAGUCGGAAUUGCUAGUAAUCGCGGAUCAGCAUGCCGCGGUGAAUACGUUCCCGGGUCUUGCACACACCGCCCGU